rnacentral:misc_RNA from 1 species
GAUGAAGAACGCAGCGAAAUGCGAUAAGUGAUGUGAAUUGCAGAAUUCAGUGAAUCAUCGAAUCUUUGAACGCACAUUGCGCCCCCUGGUAUUCCGGGGGGCAUGCCUGUUCGAGCGUCAUUUCACCACUCAAGCCUCGCUUGGUAUUGGGCAACGCGGUCCGCCGCGUGCCUCAAAUCGUCCGGCUGGGUCUUCUGUCCCCUAAGCGUUGUGGAAACUAUUCGCUAAAGGGUGUUCGGGAGGCUACGCCGUAAAACAACCCCAUUUCUAAGGUUGACCUCGGAUCAGGUAGGGAUACCCGCUGAACUUAAGCAUAUCAAUAAGCGGAGGA